GGAUAUUUCUUACUAUAUAUUUAAUUUGAUAAGACUAAGAGUAAAAUCAGUGACUUGACUAUUAAUUUAUCAACCAGCAAUUAAAAAGAAGUGUAGAAAUAAAUUAGUGAUCUGGAGUUUUGCAAUUAUCAUUCACACUAUAUAUUAUUGAUACUAAUUACGUAAAAGUGAUCAUGAGAGUGAUGAAUGCCAUUAAUAUUUGCCAAUUCAUGCCGCAACCCAAAUUCAAAUCAAUUUUAUUCAAAAAAGUGUGUAAACGAAUGAUCUCUGCCAUCCCAAGGAUCAAUCCAUUUGGCAUUACCACAAAUAAUUGAUCAGAAACAGUGGGAUUAUGCGGCGAACCAAACAUCAAACACCAAACACGAGACAAAAAUAAACACAUUGAUCACUCGUUGAGCCUUUUGUGGAGCACUUUUUCUAUUAAAUUUGACAUUUGACAACAAUGAUUCACAGUGAUUCAGCACGAAUUGGGCUUUCGAGACUCUAUAAACAAAAAAGAGCCGCCAAAUGUUGCAUAUAGGAUUGGCUUUCCCAAAGCCUCGGGUCCAAGUGUUAUUACUCCAUCAGCUGAAACCUUAAGACUUUGAGUAUCUCACAACAUGGUGCACAGUAAUAAAAUAUUAGGGAUUUAUAAAAUAUGUUAUCCAUUAAAUAAUUACCUAGUUUUUGUUGGAAAGUACAAGCAAUUUUAGUCACUUUUGAAUUACUUUUUUAAACCUCAUUUUUAACCUUUAACUGGGUUUAUUUUUAAAUAUUUUGUAUGACUUUUUUUUGAGGGUAUGCCCCAAAACCUCUGGCACUGUUUAUCUUUUUGGCCAGGCGCCAAGUCAAAUUUCUUUCAGUUAUUCCAAUCGCAGAGUCAGUCGCACCUUAAAACCGGUUGACGGCAUUUAAAACAUUACCUCAGUAAUACUCCAAACUCCAGUCUCGAAAUGACUCUGACAACUCUCUGGCAUACAAGUGUCUGUUUUGGUGGGGGGCUUGGAGAUUCCAAUUCCAAUGACGCCUACGUGCAACGGUUUUGGAAUCUAAAAUCUUGUUGCACAGAUCUUACAGGGCGACCGGUUUCGUAAAGCCCUUUCGUAGCACCCGACUCAGAUCGGAGGAGGCUCAGAUCUCGAAUGGAAAUCGUCUUUCGGGUGGAAAUGUCAAGUGUGAAAUGGAAACAAAAUGUCAGACACAAAGACUCUGUAACCUCAUAGACUAUAGACAGUAACAAAAUGCAGAAAUAAAGCAUCUAAUAGGUAACCUUGGACUUAAUAGAAAUCAAAUCGAAGCAAAACAAAACUCCCAUGGAGAGGCAGAGCCCGUUCGAUUCAUGUGUAAAUUAGCCUUACAUAAGCGGCUUAAAAGACCGAUUUGUUGUUAUUGUAUACCUAUAUGGCUUUGUGUAUUUUUAGCAAUUGCAGAAAGCCGCAAAAAAAUGAGAGUCAAAAGCAAAGGCAAAAUAAACACCAUUAUAAACAGCAGCAAGCUACAAAAUAAAUAAUAACAACAAAAGAUCGGAACAGCAGCCGGCGUAAAGAGCGCAACUAAUUUAUAAUAAUACUAAUAGCACAAUGCACAAAUAUAGUAAUAAUUUAGUGGCAAUUGCCCAAGAGGAUAGUUGCCUUAACGAGCUGAUUAAAUGCCAAAUCAAGCCAUCAAGACCUUUUCUGAGACCUCGCUUCUGUUAGAUUGGCGAUUAGAGUUACGAUUGCCAAUCGCACUCUUUGAAUGCAAAAAAUUUGCACUUCUGUGCAGCCCGUGGCGUCGCCGACUUUUCGAAAUGCUCAGCCAAGCAUUAAUUUCUAUAUAUAAUUUAUAAACAAUUGAAUAACACCAGCGAUCCAAGUUUAGUUCACUUCACCGCCUCAGGGCAUAAUAAGGAAGCUCACGUCUCCGGGAGCCCCAAAAAACGAAAUAAAUGGCAGGCACUUUAAAGAAACGAUUAAAUGGUCAUACAUCAUAGUUUUUUAACGCCAACGACAAUGUAAUGAGAGUAAAGUGCUUCCAAAAUUGGGUGAAAAUAAA